rnacentral:lncRNA from 1 species
AUGAGCCACCGUGCCCAGCCAUCACCAUGCUUUCUAUACAGCCUGCAGAACCAUGAGCCAAUUGAACCUCUUUUCUUCAUAGAUUACCCAGCCCUGAGUAUUCCUUUAUAGUGAUGCAAAAUGGACUAACACACCUCUGAUGUCUUUCCUCUUCCAGGAGAACUUUCCCAAUGAAAGAAAACGAAUGAAACUAUGCCUGCUGUCAUUCCCAACUUCAUACUGGGCCCUGUACUAGAUGAACUGGGGGCUCACAUAGGAAAUGACUAGCCUAAGAUGGCAGAGCAAGAACUGGAUCCUGGAUUGGAAUGCAUUGAGCAUGUGGCUCUAUCCUGAGGGUGGAGGUCUAGGGGGCCGGGAGAACUUGACAAUGGAUUUAGUCCACCUGGAAUCAGUGUUCUGCUGCCUCCUCGGGGACCAGAGCUGCUCUCCUCCUCAUGUGUCCAGUCCUGGUGGGACAGCCUUCUACGGCGCUGUCCCCAGAGAUCUCAGACAGGUAAAAGGAGGAUGAUAAUGAUAAUACUGAAGAUUGAAUGAAUGAAUGAAGAAAUGUCAAGUGUUUGGUGUCAGGCCUCCCUGUGUGUCAAGAACUCAGAGCUGGAUUUCCUCAAGUGUAACAUUGUUGUUAGGGUUACCGUGAUCACUGUGGGGCAGCCAUCCCCUGUCUCCCCUCCGGGUACACCAGAGCCAGAGAGCAGCCCAGCAGGGCCUUCAGGGGCACCAGGAUUUUCAGACAGUGGCAUAGCUGUCAUCCUCCAUUUCCCUGACCAGGGCAGGGGUCCAGUGGGGCUGGCCAGCAGCCCCUGCUGUCACGAUCUGAUUGGAGUUUCAUUAGUAGGAAAGGCUGGAUCCUGGCACCUGCACACCUCCAGGAGGGAGUGGGGCUCCCAAUGCCCAUCUGGGGACAUUGCAUUAAAGGGUUCCUUUCCACAGGCUCAAUCUUCAGAUGCCUCAGCCCUCCCCGAGCCCUGACCACAAGCCAAAUGGCGCUGGACCACAGUAUCAGGGUUCUCCAGCGACUCCAUCCUCCAGGGAGGAAGAGGUGGUGAAUUUCCGAGCUGGGACAGAACCCAGAGUGGCUGGAGCAGGCCAGCACCUCGCCUCAUAUACUUGGAGCCUGGAGACAUCAGGCAGCAAAUGAGAAGCAUUUUAAGGUUCUCUGACUAUUUUCUUUUUUAAUUAAUUAAUUAGUUCAUUAAUUUUUUAAUUUAAAAAUUUUUCUUACCUCUGGUUCAAGUUCUCAUGACCGAUUCCUUAAGGUUGCAACACAUGAACAUGCCUUUCCUCCAAGAAAAUUUAGAGAAUUCAGAUUAGUAAAAAGAAGAAAAUAAAAGUCUUCCAUAAACUUAUAAUCUGAGGAUAAUGUCUUUUAAUGCUUUUUCCUUCCUGUCUUUUUUCUAUGAGCAGAUAUACAUACAGGCUUUAAAAAUAUACCUUGAAAAUAGAAGCAUUCUCUAUGUGAAGUGCUUAGCAUAUUACCUAGCACAUAGUGAGUACUCAGUAAACCUUUACUGUUACUAUUAUUAUUUCUAUUUUAUAGCCUGAUUUUUCUCUCUUAAAUGGAAUUUCAGCUCCAUGAGAAUUAGAACCUUGUAAGCCUCAUUAACCUCUGUUAGUCUAGCGCUUAGCACAUAAUAGGUGCUCAAUAAACAUUUUUAAAUAGAUGAAAGAAUAAACAUUUUUCUUUCUCAUUAGAU